rnacentral:rRNA from 1 species
GAGGAAAGAGGGAGGCGUGCCUAAUACAUGCAAGUCGAGCGAACAGACGAGGAGCUUGCUCCUCUGACGUUAGCGGCGGACGGGUGAGUAACACGUGUAUAACCUACCUAUAAGACUGGGAUAACUUCGGGAAACCGGAUCUAAUACCGGAUAAUAUAUUGAACCGCAUGGUUCAAUAGUGAAAGACGGUUUUGCUGUCACUUAUAGAUGGAUCCGCGCCGCAUUAGCUAGUUGGUAAGGUAACGGCUUACCAAGGCAACGAUGCGUAGCCGACCUGAGAGGGUGAUAGGCCACACUGGAACUGAGACACGGUCCAGACUCCUACGGGAGGCAGCAGUAGGGAAUCUUCCGCAAUGGGCGAAAGCCUGACGGAGCAACGCCGCGUGAGUGAUGAAGGUCUUCGGAUCGUAAAACUCUGUUAUUAGGGAAGAACAAAUGUGUAAGUAACUAUGCACGUCUUGACGGUAACUAAUCAGAAAGCAACGGCUAACUACGUG